GUUAAAACAUUGGCUCCCGUAUGAUCACUGAAGUUAAGCAACGUCGAGCCUAGGCAGUACCGAGAUAGGUUACAGCUGGGGAAUACCAGGUGCU